UUACCUUCCCCAGCUUCCGUUGUGCUUCUGCGAUAUUCUAACUAAUCUGCACCAAGCUCCAAUUUUAAAUAGGGAUCUUUAAAAUAAAACCAAUCGGGCUUCGGUUCGUGUUUUGGUGACUCUGAAUAGCUACGCUGAUCCCAUGGUCAUGUACCGGCGACUUGUCUAUCAAGUGUCUGCCUUAUCAACUUUCGAUGGUAUUUUAUGUGCCUACCAGGGUUGUUACGGGUAACGGAGAAUAAGGGUUUCAACUCCGGAAAAGGGGAGCCUGAAAAAACGGCUACCACAUCCAAGGGAAGGCAGCAGGCGCGCAAAUUUACCCACCUCUUCGGCAUGAAGGAGGUAUUGACAAAAAAUGAAGGAGAACCGUUUCUCAUUUGAAGGGCCGGUUUAUUCGGAAUGGGGUAAAGAUUUAAACCCCGGUUAACAGAGGAAACAUUUUGAAAGGUCCAAAUCUGGGUGCCGGCAGCCGGCGGGAAA
rnacentral:rRNA from 1 species